UACGUAGGGCGCAAGCGUUGUCCGGAAUUAUUGGGCGUAAAGAGCUCGUAGGCGGUCUGUCGCGUCUGUUGUGAAAACUCGAGGCUCAACCUCGGGCUUGCAGUGGAUACGGGCAGACUAGAGUGCGGUAGGGGAGACUGGAAUUCCUGGUGUAGCGGUGGAAUGCGCAGAUAUCAGGAGGAACACCGAUGGCGAAGGCAGGUCUCUGGGCCGAUACUGACGCUGAGGAGCGAAAGCGUGGGGAGCGAACAGG
rnacentral:rRNA from 1 species